GGGUCUCAGUUUUUGAUAUUUCCAAACUGGCUUUCUUAGAAAGCAAGAAGAACCAGCCACCAAAGUAAAAUAUUAUAAAGAGAAACAAAAUAUUAUUUUGUAUUCUCUCCUCCUCACAUCCAAAGAGGAAUCUAUUUCAGAGCCCAUUGAAUAAAUGAUGCCACGCUCUUAAAAUUAAUAUGUGAAUUUCUCUCAGAAGAUAGGAACAAGCCUUGUAUUUAGCAGUGAAGGACACUGAACAGUAUUUUUAAUGUCUGGGCAAUACCAGGGUUGUGAAGAGAAAGAAAAAGGCAUUGCAUCCUGCUUCUUGCCUCCAAACUGAUUGAACACUCCUGCCCUUUCUGCUCUGUGCAAGGGGUCUUUUGGUUCCCUGUCUCUGGUUCUUCUCAGCGGGUUCAUCAUCAAUCAAGUGUUCUGUUUGCCCAACACGAGCUGGUUGAGCCCAGCUUGAGAACUGCUUUGGAGAAGAUUGUGUGGAUGUAAUACCUUUUUUACAUUUUUUUGCAGUAUUUUUUACAAUUUGCAACAUCAGGCACACAAGGAGAGGAGUAAGAGGCCCAGUAGGGCUGCAGACUGGCAGGGAAGGCCAAGAAUGGAAGGGUAGUCCACUAGGAUAACAGCGAAUAAAGGCAGACAACAGGAAGAUGGUAAUGAAAUGUUGGGCUAAGAUGAAUGGGAGAGGGAUUGACGAAGGAAGGAUGGGAUGAGGGAGGGAUGGUGGUGGAAGCCGGUGUAACCAAGGGGAGGAAAGAAGGAAGAAGCAGGACAGGCAAGGGACCUGGUCACUGCGGAAGAGGCGAAUAAGGCCGGAGGGCUAGCCUCGGAAAGGUGGUGGUGGGUGGUGGUGGAGAGAAGAGGGCGUGCUCAGCGCAUGCGCUGGAAGCACACUGCGGCGAUCCUGGAGAGGCAGUCCUUUACUGGCUUCAGCGGUGCAGUUGCAAGCGCGGCUGGUCGUCUGUCCGUUGCCACCUUGGCCUGCUGCUGCCACCCUGGCGACGCGAACUCUGUGCCGCUGUGCCUCCACCCUGUCUUGGGACGGCCGGCGCUAAGAAUUCUCGCUACGACAGUCGAUUCAGCCAGGAGGUGA
rnacentral:lncRNA from 1 species